rnacentral:snoRNA from 1 species
GACCUGGAUGAUGUGCAAUUUCAGCAUGUAUUAUCUGAUCGUGGAACAAUAUCCACGAAUGAUGUCCAAAUUAUUAGCUCUAUCUGACG